rnacentral:rRNA from 1 species
GAUGAACGCUGGCGGCGUGCCUAAUACAUGCAAGUCGAACGCGCAGCGAAAGGUGCUUGCACCUUUCAAGCGAGUGGCGAACGGGUGAGUAACACGUGGAUAACCUGCCUCAAGGCUGGGGAUAACAUUUGGAAACAGAUGCUAAUACCGAAUAAAACUUAGUAUCGCAUGAUACAAAGUUGAAAGGCGCUACGGCGUCACCUAGAGAUGGGUCCGCGGUGCAUUAGUUAGUUGGUGGGUAAGGCCUACCAAGACAAUGAUGCAUAGCCGAGUUGAGAGACUGAUCGGCCACAUUGGGACUGAGACACGGCCCAAACUCCUACGGGAGGCUGCAGUAGGGAAUCUUCCACAAUGGGCGAAAGCCUGAUGGAGCAACGCCGCGUGUGUGAUGAAGG